AACGCAAAUUGCGCUCUUCCUUGAGGAGAGCACGUCUGUUUGAGCAUCAUUAAGCACCCAAUCACUACGAUGUGUUUGAAUUUAUUUUCGAGCGCAACGCAGUGGAGUCUGAGGCCUGUUUCAAUUUACUUUGAAAGGGUCUUGAAAUUUGUUGAACCGUUUCAUUGAAAUUUCAAAAGAUAAAGGCCUCGAGUCUUUCUCUCUUUUACUUUCAAGUGGAAAGCGUAGUAGGUACAACUCUUCGUGAGAUGCGCCCUAUCGCCAGUACGCAGAAGAAAAAGACGAGUUUUGUUUUCAAAGUCUUUACUUUUCAGACGGCGUUCAAACCUUCUGAAGAAUUGUAGAGUUUUUCUUUACGAUUCAACGGAAAACUAUUUUUCGCAAACUUGAUCUCAAAUCAGGCGAGAUUACCCGCUGAACUUAA
rnacentral:misc_RNA from 1 species